rnacentral:rRNA from 1 species
AUGAUUGAGAUUGUGCAGGACUUUUAUUUAGUGGGGGAGUGCAUUGAGGAAGUUCUCUCUGUAAUCAAGCCGACGGAGGACGAUCGAAACAAACGUCUGGAAACUAUUCAAGAGUUUGUGAAUUCCAUCUAUUCAGCUGCUGAUUUGGAAGAUGCUUCUGCCAAACCUUUUGGAUCCUUCGCAUCAAAUCUUUAUGCAAAAUCAGGUGAUUUGGAUGUAUCUGUUGAGCUGUCAAAUGACCCGGACUCCUUUACAACCAAGAAAAAGAGGAAAGCCUUGAGAGUCGAAAGAAUAAAUGCCUUGAGUGAAGUAAGGAGAGUUUUACAAAUCAAAGAUUUUAUGAGGCAAGUUAUUUUUUUCUCGUUCAAAUUAUGUUUUCAUACUUCAUUCAGGUGUUGCUAG